rnacentral:rRNA from 1 species
AACGAACGCUGGCGGCAUGCCUAACACAUGCAAGUCGAACGAGACCUCCGGGCCUUGUGGCGCACGGGUGCGUAACGCGUGGGAACCUGCCCUUAGGUUAGGAAUAACUCCCCGAAAGGGGUGCUAAUACCGGAUAAUGUCUUCGGACCAAAGAUGUAUGGCCUUUGGAUGGGCCCGCGUUGGAUUAGCCAGUUGGUAGGGUAAAAGCCUAGCAAGGCGAGGAUCCAUAGCUGGUCUGGGAGGAUGAUCAGCAGCACUGGGGCUGAGACACGGCCCAGAAUGCUAGGGAAGGGCGGGGAGGGGGAUAUAGGGGGAGGGGGGGAAGUCCGGACCCGCCGUGCCGGGGAAGAGGUGAAGGGGUUAGUGUUGUAAAGCUGUUUUACACGGGAUGAUAAUGACGGUACCGGGAGAAUAAGCUCCGGCUAACUCCGUG